rnacentral:ncRNA from 1 species
UCGCAAUCCGCCAACCGGUCAAGCCGGGUCGCGGAAGGUUGUCAAACCCAUCAGAGUUCCGGAAACCGGGGCGAAAGGUGAGCG